CACUUCUCUAUGUGGCAAUCGAACGAAAAACCAACAAUGUUUUGUUUGGUUUUGAACCCGGGUCUUAGGAUUACCAGACCAGCGCACAAUCCUCUGCGCCACGAUCGCCACUCUAUACAUGGCAAGAAAGCAAAGGACACAAAAUUGAUUCUGUGUGGGGUGGUGUAGAAAAAAUAAUUUAUAAAAAAGAUACGGAAAUAUCAACAGAGCAUUGUAUCGCUGUUAUAAUUAUUGGUUUUAUACAGACGUGGUCUGUGAUUUUCAACUCCAAAUACGACAAGGAAGAGCAGGUGCUUGCGAGAGCAAAAUUAUUUAUAGACAAGGUGAAGUUAAAAAAACAUUCUAUAGGAAUUAUAUUUACUACUACAAGAACACCGCACCACAUUUUUACAAACAUACUAGUAAUGAUCAGUCAAUUCUUCCCCCAUGUAUCGUUUAUGCAAUUCUGAGGUAUUAACGAGUUUGGAAAAAAUACUAGUGACGAUGUAAAUGAAGAAAAAAACGACAAAGAGGAACCUAAAUGUUGGAAAAAGGAAAUUAAAUCUUGGUAUAAUGAAUACUCCACUGUGAUUUUGAUACUUACAUAUGACUGAUAUUUUGAGAAAAAAAUAUGCAUGACUGCUGUGUGACACGAACAUAUUUUAUCACUCGUGCACUGCUAGUUUUAGAUCUUGUGUUCACCGAUCUUACUCUUCACUAACGAAACAUGAGAGCAAUUAUGUCCCGAUGUUUACAGAAUAAUGAUCAUCGUAGAAAUAAAAGUACAGAAUUGGCCCUUAUAUUUACUGCUAGAUGUAAUCUGUGAACGCGUGUUUUAUACGAGUCCUAAAAUGAUGUUAACGAAAAAUAAAUGAUAACUAAUUACAAUGUACUAGAUUUGUACUGCAUAUACGUUUUCCAUUUACUCUCUUGUAUCCAUUACUUUUCUGAAGCGCUUGUUUUAACGUAUCGAGCGAGCGAUCAUUCAGUGUGAUCCGCAUUGGUAAAUACACGUGUAUUAAAAUGUAAUGCAAGUAAUGCAGAUACUAACCAUAAGUUGCGUUAUGUCUUUUGUAAUAUUAUCGGCCAAUCGAUUUUGUCAGAAAGUUUAACAGUUUAUAUUGACCGCAUCUAGCAAAAGAAAUCAGCUGUUGA